rnacentral:rRNA from 1 species
GACGAACGCUGGCGGCGUGCCUAACACAUGCAAGUCGAGCGAUGAAACCCUUCGGGGUGGAUUAGCGGCGGACGGGUGAGUAACACGUGGGUAACCUGCCUCAAAGAGGGGGAUAGCCUCCCGAAAGGGAGAUUAAUACCGCAUAACAUUAGUUUUUCGCAUGAAGAACUAAUUAAAGGAGUAAUCCGCUUUGAGAUGGACCCGCGGCGCAUUAGCUAGUUGGUGAGGUAAAGGCUCACCAAGGCGACGAUGCGUAGCCGACCUGAGAGGGUGAUCGGCCACAUUGGAGCUGAGACACGGUCCAGACUCCUACGGGAGGCAGCAGUGGGGAAUAUUGCACAAUGGGCGAAAGCCUGAUGCAGCAACGCCGCGUGAGUGAUGAAGGCCUUCGGGUUGUAAAGCUCUGUCUUUUGGGACGAUAAUGACGGUACUAUUUGUAAGGUCCGGCUAACUACGUGCCAGCCGCCGCCGUAACAC